CCUCGCCAUCGCGCUGCCUUGCUUUCGCACCUUCGCCACCUUCGCCGCCUUGUCUGCUUUCGCGCCGUUAGCGCCGUUCCCCCCGUCGGGUCGCCAUCUUUUGUUUCCCGAAGGAAGAAAACAAAGCGAGGAAAGUUUGCGGUAGGGAGCACGACCGUGGCUACCAAGACGGCUGACGGCGCAGUACUCGAGGCGUUUGGCGGGCCCAAUAGUAAACGAACAUAACAGGUUUCCUGAGCAUGAACCCUGACCGUGGCACCAGAGCCAAGUGCUCCAAGUCAGAAGUGAGCAAGAGAGUACUUAACCUGGUCAAGAAAAUAGCAGAGCUGGAGUGGAAUGUGUGAGGCUGUCGGUCAUCCUAUGUGGGAACGAGGCAUGCAACAUGGAGCUCGAGCUCAUUCAACACAAGGUCUUGGCACCAGGAAGAUUUCAGCAGCCAUAAGCAAUGGCACUUGGGUCUAAAUUUGAUCAGAGGGUAUAUGGACCUGGGUCCUCAUCAUCCAAGUAAAUAAAUGUUCUGUUUUUAUUUCUAUCCUACA